rnacentral:rRNA from 1 species
UACGUAGGGUGCAAGCGUUGUCCGGAAUUAUUGGGCGUAAAGAGCUCGUAGGCGGUUUGUUGCGUCGGCUGUGAAAUCCCCGGGCUUAACCUGGGAAUGGCAUUUUUGGGACUGCAAGGCUCGAGUGCGGCAGAGGAGACUGGAAUUCCUGGGUGUAGCAGUGAAAUGACGUAGAUAUCAGGAGGGACACCGAUGGCGAAGGCAGGUCUCUGGGCUGACACUGACCGCUCAUGCACGAAAGCGUGGGGAGCAAACAGG